CCUGGGCGCCCUGCCGGUUGGUUGCUGGACGGACGGAGACGCGCCCCUGUUGCUGCGGUCCGGGGGCCGUGCCUGGCAAAUAAAAGCCACCGAACCGCUCCCCUGAAAUGCAGAACAAGGGGGGGGGGGAGGCGGCUCACCUGAGGCUGGAAGGUGGCAGCGUUUAGCAGCGGCUCCAUUGCGAUGUCUGAUGUUGCGCAAGUAACGCCUGUAAAUGUGCUUAUGCCGCUGUGCGGGCUGAUCCUACUCUUGAGUGGGUGUCCCCCCCCCCCCCCCCCAAGGAAUUAGCGCCGCAAUUUCGAAGGCCCCAGAGGACUUUCAUUUCAGCAAUGGGAGAGUAAGAGAAGGUGAAAUGGCUCUCGAAUCUCUACAGCUCCAUUGGCUGUAUGCUCCCAGCUACUUUGAUAGUUGAUCUCAAGUAUCUGUUUGUUGUCUCCCCUUUCCAGUCUCUUGUACUUGCCUCAUCCAAACACUGUUCUUAACUAAGGGAAGGGGAUGUGGAUGUUUCUGUUGGUGUUGAACGUUGUUGUUCGGAGCCACUGUAGAUCAUCUGAUAAGGUGACUCAGUCCCAUAGGGAGAGUCACUGUAUGGCUCCCUGUCCAGUGUCCCCACUACACUGGUCUUGGCCUGAUCUGGUGGCAUGAGAUCAUAAGAGUGGUUCUCUAAUUUUCUUAGCCCCUGCAGCUUUAGACUGUCUUAUUCUGGAAUAAGUGUCUCGGUUCCUGACUGGUUCCUGAAGAGCUCCAUGUGUAGACCAAGCCCUGACUUCUUCCAGAACUCUGACACCACAUCUAAGGCUCUUAUUAAUUUUCAUUAAGUAUUCUUCUCCUGCUCCUUUUGCUUGCACAGGCACAGAUAGGCCUGUCAGCCUGAGAUCGAUCUCACAUGAAAUAAUGGAAUAGCUGAUAGAGGACUCAACUAAUAAAGGAGGGUAAUUAAUGCCAAUCUGCAUGGAUUUAUCAAAAAUAGAUCUUGAUAUUAUUUUUGAUGAGAAUACAAGUUUAAUUGAUAAAGGUGAUAGUGUUGAUGUAAUAGCCUUACGUAAGGCAUUUGACUUUGUACUGCAUGACAUCUUGAUUAACAAACUAUAGCAAUACAAAAUUAACAUGGCACACAUUAAAUGGGUUAAAAACUGAUUAACUGAUGGGUCUCAACAUGUAAUUGUAAAUGGAGAAUCAAGUGGAUGUGUCCCACAGAGAUCAGAUAUAGCAUAGGGCUAAGAAAACUUUUUUAUGUUUUUUUUUUUAAUUAGAGAUAAAAAUGAAUAGUGAUUAAAAUUUACAGAUGACAAAAGAUUGGGGGAGUGGUAAAUAAUCAAGAGAACAGGUCUCUGAUAUCUCUCUGAAAGCUGGGGGAAGACCAACACUAUGUUUCAAUAUGGUCAGAUGUAAGGUUGUAAAUCUGGGAACAAAUACCGUAGGCCAUUCUUACAGGAUCGGGGACUAUCUUGGGAAGCAGGGAUUACAUUUUAUGUUGGGGGUGGGGGGACCUUAGGAAUAAUGGUGGUGGAUAAUCAGCUGAAUGUUAGCUACCAGUACGACACUAGUCAAAGGCUUAAUUUGAUGCUUGGGUGUCUCAAUGGGAAGAUAUAGAGUAGGAAGGUUUAUAUUACUUCUGUUUGGCACUGGUGCAACCACUGCUGGAAUAGUGUCCAAUUCUAGUGUCCGCAAUUCAAGAAAGAUGUUGAUAAAUUUUAGAGGGUUCAGAGAAGGACUAUAAGAAUGUCCAAACGAUUGGAAAACAUGCUGUAUAGUGAGAAGACGUAAGAAACUCAAUCUAUUUAUCUUAUCAAAGAGAAGAUUCAGGAAAUGAUUUGAUCACAGUUUAUACGUACCUAUAAGGGGAACAGAUUUUUGAUAAUAGCGGGCUCUUUAAUCUAGUAGACAAAAAAUAACAAAAUGCAAUGGCAAGAAUUUGAAGCUAGACAAAUUCAGAGUGGAAGUAAGGUGUCGGAUUUUAACAGCGAGGGUAAUAACCAUUGGAACAAUUUACCAAGGGUUGUGGUGGAUUCUCCAUCAUCGGACAUCUUUAAAUCAAAAAUCAAUGUUUUUUUCUAACAGAUAUGCUGUAGUUCAAGUACAGUUACUGGACUUGAAGCAGGAAAUAAUACAAGGAAAAUCCUAUGACCUCUGUUAUACAGGAAGUCAGACUAAGGUCAGAAGUCUAUGAAGAAAGUCUGUCUCUUUGGGUGGAAAGUAAAGAUCCCAUCUUUAAAGUAGCAAAGGGAUUACACUGACCAUGUUAGGUGUGAGCUCCUGUUGGAGGGGAAGAACAAAAAUAGAUUUUUUUUUUCCUUCAACAUGACUCCAAAAUUUUCUUUUGACUUGAAAAUAUUGCUGACUUUUUUUUUUUUCCUGAGCAGUCAAGUCCACAUGACCCAUUGGAGGGAAACAGCAUCAAGAAAACCAGACAGUGGACUGAGCUGGAAUAUCAUGCCUGUGUGUUUCACCCUUACUCACUGUGUGUUUUGAUAAGUGUGACUACUUCAGAGGGGUAGAAUAGACAGAGGAAAACAGAACAGUCCUCUUCCUUUGUGGUACAGCCAUCAACUCCUAAUGUUUUUUUUUCCAGGGAAAUAGUGGAUCCAGAACUACUUUGGUCCUUUUUUCCUAGAGAUGAUCAGUCACUAUGUGUGCAUUGGACUUAAAGGUGAUCUACCAAGGAAAGAAAAUUGGCCUUAUCUGCAUUAUUUCUGUUUCUUCAUAGUGAAAACACAAGGCCUGAAACUUCUUUCUGCUUUUUUUUUUUUUCUUUUAGAAAGUAGAAAAUAAGGAACUGACAUACUGAAUCAGAGCAGUGGACUUUUAGUCCAAUAUCAUGUCUAACAGUGGCUCAUACCAACUGCCUCAGAAGAGCCGCUCUGUAAUAGAGG